UUCUGCCCCUCACUUGUUGGCUGAGUCUGUUGCAUGUUUAUAUCAUCCCUGCAGCAAAUUGACUUCCUGGACCUGGCAAGGGGCCUCUGAGCUCCUACCCGAAAGUGUUUUCGAAAAGCCUGCAAAGUUGGCAAGUGCGCCUGGGCCAUGAACUUGUGAGGAGCCACAGCGCACAGGCUUCCUGAGAGUGAAAAACUGCUGACAGCACUGGCAGGUCUGCAGGAGCGCUUCUGUCAUCCUUGUAAACAGGGUUGAACUGGCCUGCUUUAUCUCUCUGUGCAAAAUGCAGAUUUAAUAGGAAGUGCCCUCUGAAUCAUUGCUGCUGGGUCGAGUCUCUCAAGGAAUUAAGGAUAACAGUUUAAUAACUGCAGAAAAGAGCUUAGGCGCUUUGCUGUGUAUGGUGUAUCUGAGUUAGCUACUGAAAAAAAAAAAAAACGAACUUGGGACAUUAAACCCUUUUAUCACUCAGAUAGAGCAAUUGGAGAAAAUCCAUUCCUUGGCAGGGGAUGAGUUUACCAGCUUCUGAAAGGGAUGUGUGUUUGAAUGUGAUAGGGAAGGGAGCAUUUGUCAGAGUGGAAGGUGGAUCAAAAGACAAAUGAAUUCUUUGAGUUAAAUAAGAGCUUUAAAUUAUCCCACUUUGAACUGCUUUGCCAUCAGUAGAAUGUGCUCCACUGAAAGUCGGCCUGUCUUUUCCAAGGUCUUUGGACGGUACCAGGGUCUCUAUCUUCCAGUGCUGCAUUUUAAAGGAACAAACAGUCUUAGGGCAGAUGGCCAAGGCUGGGAAGGCUUUUGGAGAACUUGAGAAUCCCAAGAUUGUCAAGAGGAUGAUGACAAGCCCUAUUGUUUUCAAACCAGUCUGCCAAACUCUAGAAGCAGAAUCUCGUAUUUUAAAGGCAGCUGAUUGCAGACGCAGGAAUUAUCCAUCUGAGAUCAGCAAAAAGAACUAGCCUGCUGAGCCCCACUGAAAUUGUUGACUCCCAGUACCUUCAGACAAAAAUGUGACUGAAAAAGGUACAGACUCUCUCUCACACUGAGAAAUACCUGUGCAAGGAUGAAAGGGAACAAGUUCACCAAUAU